GGCCGGGAACUCAAAGGAGACUGCCAGUGAUAAACUGGAGGAAGGUGGGGAUGACGUCAAGUCAUCAUGGCCCUUACGACCAGGGCUACACACGUGCUACAAUGGCAUAUACAAAGAGAAGCGACCUCGCGAGAGCAAGCGGACCUCAUAAAGUAUGUCGUAGUCCGGAUUGGAGUCUGCAACUCGACUCCAUGAAGUCGGAAUCGCUAGUAAUCGUAGAUCAGAAUGCUACGGUGAAUACGUUCCCGGGCCUUGUACACACCGCCCGUCACACCAUGGGAGUGGGUUGCAAAAGAAGUAGGUAGCUUAACCUUCGGGAGGGCGCUUACCACUUUGUGAUUCAUGACUGGGGUGAAGUCGUAACAAGGUAACCGUAGGGGAACCUGCGGU
rnacentral:rRNA from 1 species